rnacentral:rRNA from 1 species
UCCGUAGGUGGAUCAAUCAGUCAGAGGUGAAAUCCUGCAGCUUAACUGUAGAACUGCCUUUGAUACUGUUGAUCUUGAGUCAUUAUGAAGUGGUUAGAAUGUGUAGUGUAGCGGUGAAAUGCAUAGAUAUUACACAGAAUACCGAUUGCGAAGGCAGAUCACUAAUAAUGUACUGACACUGAGGGACGAAAGUGUGGGGAGCGAACAGGAUUAGAUACCCUGGUAGUCC